UACGGAGGAUGCAAGCGUUAUCCGGAUUCAUUGGGUUUAAAGGGUGCGUAGGCGGCUCUUUAAGUCAGUGGUGAAAUCUUGCCGCUUAACGGUAAAAUUGCCAUUGAUACUGAAGAGCUUGAGUACAGUUGAGGUAGGCGGAAUGUGUAGUGUAGCGGUGAAAUGCUUAGAUAUUACACAGAACACCAAUUGCGAAGGCAGCCUACUAAGUUGUUACUGACGCUGAUGCACGAAAGCGUGGGGAGCGAACAGGAUUAGAUACCCUGGUAGUCCACGCCGUAAACGAUGCUCACUCGCUGUUUGCGAUACACAGUAAGCGGCCAAGCGAAAGCAUUAAGUGAGCCACCUGGGGAGUACGAUCGCAAGGUUG
rnacentral:rRNA from 1 species